AUCUACGGCCAUAGAACUCGGAAAAACGCCGCAUCCCGUCAGCUCUGCGAAGCUUAAGCCGAGUAUCGCUCGAUUAGUACCAAAGUAGGGGACCAUUUGGGAAUCCGGGGUGCUGUAGGUA
rfam:Cryptococcus bestiolae CBS 10118 unplaced genomic scaffold supercont1.1, whole genome shotgun sequence.